GUGUAGGUCCCAGUAAUCAGAGUCGUCAUCAUUUGGAGUACAGAGCCAUCAUGCAGGAGAUGUCCCCUACAGGCGUUUGGUCUGACAGACUGGGAGGAUGAUGAGAUUCUGGCGUCGGUUCUGGCCGUCUCGCAGCAGGAAUACAUGGAGAGCAUGAAACACCAGAGCAGCGCCAUGCACCGAGAGAGGGAGCCGUCGCCCGACAGCAGCUGAUAGCCGGCCGACACACACACACACACACACACACACACACACACACACACACACACACACACGAUGACCUUUGACCCCCCCCACCCCUCCCCCCUCUGACCCACAGACGGAGAUCCACCCGGGAGGAAAUAAAAUGUCAGACAAAGAAAUUCACACUCGUUUUUUUCUGCAGACAUUUCAACUCAUCUGUUCAUCACUCGUCUCCUUUCCCUUCCUUCCUUCCUUCCCCUCUUCUCUUUCUUCUCCCUCCUCCCAGCCAAUAGUGAUCCAGCAUUAUCACCCCCCCCCCCCCCCACUUUCCCUGUUCCUGGUCACCACUCAGAUGGCGCUCGUUCUUAAUGCUGACUUUGGGAUCAGUUGUGAUUUUAAAAAA